rnacentral:rRNA from 1 species
UACGGAGGGUGCAAGCGUUGUCCGGAAUCACUGGGCGUAAAGGGCGCGUAGGCGGCUCAUGAAGGCUGUGGUGAAAGUCCGGGGCUCAACCUCGGAUCGGCCGUGGCGACUCGUGGGCUGGAGCACUGUAGAGGCGGGUGGAAUUCCGGGUGUAGCGGUGGAAUGCGUAGAUAUCGGGAGGAACACCGGUGGCGAAGGCGGGUCUCUGGGCCGUUACUGACGCUGAGGAGCGAAAGCGUGGGGAGCGAACAGG